rnacentral:lncRNA from 1 species
CCCUGAGGCAUGCUGGGGAAUGCAGUUCCCCCAGCCACAACACUUUACAACCCACACUGGCCGCCUGACCAUGUGAUUAACUGGGCCCCUUGCCAGGACUUGUGAAAUGGCCCAGGGCCCUUUGGGAAUCUAGGAUCUGAUGAAGCAGAAGUAAUGUAUCCAGGGACUUUUGUUCUUUCACAGUCACUUUCAUGUGGACAAUAUUCUUUCUCAUAAGUUCCUCUGGAUUGCCCUGGAUCAUUACUUUGCUACUCUGUUUUUGGUCUGCCUAGCUUUGGAAUCAGUACCACUUUUGUGUCAUUAAAAGAAUUUGUUACUUACAAGGGAGCAGGCGCACUGGUCACAAUUCCAAGAGAGAAAGAUGCACUAAUGAAUGUUAUUCAGAAGACUUUACUACAGAACUUGACAAACACCAAGAAGCAGCAACACUAUUUAAAAUGAAGAUUGGAAAAAGGAAUCAUAUCUGAAAUCAUGAAUCUCUAUAUUAUAUUUCUUUCUUUCCUGUUUAGUACUAAUUUAAAAGACUUAGUCUUAGAAUGAAGACUGUGUAAAUUAGAACAUAGACUAAUUCACCUGUAAGAUC